UGAGCAAUCUGCCCUUCUCUUUGGAAUAAGCGUUGGAAACGACGUCUAAUGCCGAAUACGACCUCCUUUCGCAUGAUCGGAGGUGGAAAGCUCCGGCGGAGAAGGAUGAGCUCGCGGCCUAUCAGCUAGUUGGUGUGGGUAAUGGCCCACCAAGGCGACGACGGGUAGCCGGCCUGAGGAGGGCGACCGGCCACACGUGGGACUGAGACACGGCCCAGACUCCGUACGGGGAGGNAGCG
rnacentral:rRNA from 1 species